rnacentral:rRNA from 1 species
UACAGAGGUCUCAAGCGUUGUUCGGAUUCAUUGGGCGUAAAGGGUGCGUAGGUGGCGCCGUAAGUCAGGUGUGAAAUCCCGGGGCUCAACCCCGGAACUGCACUUGAUACUGCGGUGCUCGAGUACUGGAGAGGAGAUUGGAAUUUACGGUGUAGCAGUGAAAUGCGUAGAUAUUGGGAAGAACACCAGUGGCGAAAGCGCACUUCUGGGUUGUUACUGACGCUGAGGUACGAAAGCGUGGGGAGCAAACGGG